UACGAAGGGGGCUAGCGUUGCUCGGAAUCACUGGGCGUAAAGGGUGCGUAGGUGGUGGGGUAAGUCGGAUGUGAAAUCCCGGGGCUCAACCCCGGAACUGCAUUCGAUACUGCCUUGCUCGAGUACUGGAGAGGAGACUGGAAUUUACGGUGUAGCGGUGAAAUGCGUAGAUAUCGUAAGGAAGACCAGUGGCGAAGGCGGGUCUCUGGACAGUUCCUGACGCUGAGGCACGAAGGCCAGGGGAGCAAACGGG
rnacentral:rRNA from 1 species